rnacentral:lncRNA from 1 species
CUGUAAUCCCAGCUACUUGGGAGGCUAAGGCAGGAGAAUUGCCUGAACCUGGGAGGCGGAGGUUGCAGUGAGCCAAGAUCGCGCCACUGCACGCCAGCCUGGGCGGCAGAGCGAGACUCCGUCUCAAAAAAAUGACAGUCCUCAUGAGGUGGGUGGUGCCUUUCCCAUUUUUCUCUGAGAGGUUGAGUAAACCACCCAAGGCUUCACAGCGAGUAAUCUGACUUCAGAGCCUAUAUUCUUGUAUUGCCCUCAGAAUCUUUAGCGCUUUGUGAAGUCUUCUUUGAGUUAGAGUUAGCUGCUUGGUAUAUACCUUUUUUUUUUUGAGACGCAGCCUUUCUCUGUUGCCCAGGCUGGAGUGUAGUGGCACGAUUUUAGCUCACCACAACCUCCG